GAUGAACGCUAGCGGCAGGCCUAAUACAUGCAAGUCGAACGAUACCAGAGAGCUUGCUUUCUGGGAAAGAGGCGCAUGGGUGCGUAACGCGUAUGCAACCUACCUUAAUCAGGGGGAUAGCCUCCCGAAAGAGAGAUUAACACCGCAUAAAAUCACACUUCGGCAUCGAAGCAUGAUCAAAUAUUAAUAGGAUUAAGAUGGGCAUGCUUGACAUUAGCUAGUUGGUGAGGUAACGGCUCACCAAGGCUACGAUGUCUAGGGGAUCUGAGAGGAUGACCCCCCACACUGGUACUGAGACACGGACCAGACUCCUACGGGAGGCAGCAGUAAGGAAUAUUGGUCAAUGGAGGCAACUCUGAACCAGCCAUGCCGCGUGCAGGAAGACGGCCCUAUGGGUUGUAAACUGCUUUUAUACGGGAAUAAACCUCUCUACGUGUAGAGAGUUGAAUGUACUGUAAGAAUAAGGAUCGGCUAACUCCGUGCCAGCAGCCGCAGUAAUAC
rnacentral:rRNA from 1 species